UGGGGAAUAUUGCACAAUGAGCGCAAGCCUGAUGCAGCCAUGCCGCGUGUAUGAAGAAGGCCUUCGGGUUGUAAAGUACUUUCAGCGAGGAGGAAGGCGUUGUGGUUAAUAACCGCAACGAUUGACGUUACUCGCAGAAGAAGCACCGGCUAACUCCGUGCCAGCAGCCGCGGUAAUACGGAGGGUGCAAGCGUUAAUCGGAAUUACUGGGCGUAAAGCGCACGCAGGCGGUCUGUCAAGUCGUAUGUGAAAUCCCCGGGCUCAACCUGGGAACUGCAUCCGAAACUGGCAGGCUAGAGUCUUGUAGAGGGGGGUAGAAUUCCAGGUGUAGCGGUGAAAUGCGUAGAGAUCUGGAGGAAUACCGGUGGCGAAGGCGGCCCCCUGGACAAAGACUGACGCUCAGGUGCGAAAGCGUGGGGAGCAAACA
rnacentral:rRNA from 1 species